rnacentral:rRNA from 1 species
GAUGAACGCUGACAGAAUGCUUAACACAUGCAAGUCAUUGGCGAAGCUGCGCUUGCGCAGUCUAGCCAAGGCGGACGGGUGAGUAACGCGUAAGGAACUUGCCCUGCAGACAGGGAUAACAGACGGAAACGACUGAUAACACCUGCUAUUGUCAGGCUGGCGCAUGCCGGCCUGAUGAAAGGAGACGCUGCAGGAGAGCCUUGCGUCCUAUUAGCUAGUUGGUGGGGUAACGGCCCACCAAGGCGAUGAUAGGUAGCCGGCCUGAGAGGGUGAACGGCCACAAGGGGACUGAGAUACGGCCCUUACUCCUACGGGAGGCAGCAGUGGGGAAUAUUGGACAAUGGGGGCAACCCUGAUCCAGCAAUUCUGUGUGCACGAAGAAGGUUUUCGGAUUGUAAAGUGCUUUCAGCAGGGAAGAAGAAA